UUCACCUAUCUCUUUUUACUUUUUAUAAUGUGGCUACUAGAAAAUUUUAAGUUACAUUUGUGGUACAUUGUAUUUCUGUUGGAUAGUGAUGCUCUAGAUGCUUCUAGAUUUGUUUUCAACUGCCUGGUCUCUUGAGAUCAGGGGCUGUGCAUAUUUAUUAUUUUUUCUUUAGUAGAGGGCCUUGUACAUGCUAUGCACUUAAUACAUAUUGUUGAAUGAAUGUUGUCUGCCUUUAAUGGUUCCUCAUUUCAAACAGGAUAAAUGCAAACUUCCUUGACAAUCUGGCUCCAAUAUUAUAUUUCAAACUUCUAUCCCAAAGGAGAUUGGACCAUAUCUCCUGGGCUAUGUUUUGCUCAAACAGGCCUCUAUAUUCUUCCUUCCCAGUCCAGCCUGCAGAGACAAUGGAGCCCAGGGUACAGGAGGGAGAGGUAGGUGAAAGUAUGUGUGGAUGAGACCUGCUGUUGUAUAAAGAUUUGUUCAUCUCUUGAUGUUUAAGGCCAUAGCUUAGAGAACCUUCAUUCUUUAAAGAGCUCUAGAUUUUUAAGAAAUGACUAAGGCAUUUCCCUUACUAAACCCAGUCAUUAGUCCACAUGCAGCUUGGACUUUCCUGAAACUUCUGAAGAUUCACAGAGUCCAGAAAUGUCCUUGUCCUCCCUUUGGCUUGAAUUAGUUCAUCUAUAUUUGGUCACUUUCAGCAAGACGAGUUAUAAGAACCAAAUAAGGUUGGGUGUAGUGGCUCACGCCUGUAAUCCCAACACUUUGGGAGGCCAAGGCAGGCAGAUCACCUGAGGUCAAGAGAUGGAGACCAUCCUCGCCAACAUGGUGAAACCCCGUCUCUACUAAAAAUACAAAAAUUAGCUUGGUGUGGUGGUGUGAGCCUGUAGUCCCAGCUACUUAGGAGGCUGAGGCAGGAGAAUCGCUUGAACCCAGGAGGUAGAGGUUGCAGUGAGCCAAGAUCACACCACUGCACUCUAGCCUGGUGACAGAGUGAGACUCUCUCUCAAUAAAUAAAUAAAUAAAUAAAGAACAAAAGAAAAACAAACAAACAAAAAGAAUGUAGUCAUCGCAGAACCUGGCCCAUGGACUGUGUGUGGUAGAUGCUGGCCCUACACAUGAAAGGUUCCAUGGUCCUCAUCCAUGGCAGAGUAGGACCUAGGACUCAGAUCCUUCAGCAAUGAGUUCAGUGCUCUUUCUCCCUAUGCCAUGUUGGGCCAUGAGAGAGAAAUCCUGAAGUGCUGUACACCCUUUGAAAAAAACACAGUGGUUGGAAGUGAGACAGAUGUGGGCACGGGGACAUGGCAUCUGUUGAAUCUGCACUUGUUUCACGAAGUUUGAGUUGUUCCCUCAGACUUUCAGAAAAUCGUUGUUGUGUUAAUGUUUAUUCUUGCUUUCUUUUAAGGAAAAGUGUUUGAGAAGAGUACAACACAGCCACCAUUUUUCCUAGGUCAACAAGCACAUCUGUGUUCAGACAAUUAAGAGUCCUAAUGAUACACCCCUAAUGGUAAAAUGUUCCGGGUUACUGACUUCAGCCAUGGCUGGAUCCAGGAACCCAAAUGUCCGAAUGCACCCGUGUCUGAGGUCAUCCUUCCUUUGAGAUACCUGCGACGAUGACUCCAGCUCCUCAAGUUUUCCCUCUCCAGAAGCCAGCUGCCAUGUCUGGAUCACAUGCAUGUGGUGAAAAACUGAGACUUCCAGCCAAUAGCCACGUGAGUGAGCCAUCUUGGAAGUGGAUCUUCCAGCUCCAGUAAAGCCUUCAGAUGACUACAGCUUUGGCCAACAUCUUGACUGCAACCUCCAGAGAGACCCUGAACAAGAAUCACACUGUGAAGAUGUUCCUGGUUUCCCGAUUCUCAGAAACUGUGUGAGAUAAUACAUGUUUGCUGGUUUAAGCCACUAAGUUUUGGGGUAAUUUGUUAUGCAGCAAUAGAUAACUAAUACAGAUUGUGUGUGUGUGUGUGUGUGUGUGUGUGUGUGUGUACAAGAUGAAUAUGGCUUCUGCAACACAGAAGUUAAAUUCUAGUGGAGCAUAGAAAAAAGUCAGCUGACAACACCAAUAUAGUGUGGAAAGUGCUAUGGGAAAGCACAGGAUCCCAUGGGAGUAUGUGGAAGGGGCACUGGGUGUAACUUAAAAGUGGUGAUGGUCAGAGGAGGCUUCCUAUAAUCAGUUACAUCUAAGUUGCAUCUUGAAGGAUGAGCAGAGCUGGUCAAGCAGACAAGUUGGUGAGGUGAAUGAGGAAGGGCAUUUCGGAAGAAGGA